AUUUCAAAAAAGGGGUGCCCUAAAGUGACGGGCUGAGAUCAUACCCAUUAACCUGAUCCAGGUAAUGCUGGCGUAGGAAUAAAAGAGAAAUAUUCC
rfam:Bacteroides coprosuis DSM 18011 chromosome, whole genome shotgun sequence.